rnacentral:rRNA from 1 species
AGUCGAACGGAGCUGAGAGGAGCUUGCUUUUCUUAGCUUAGUGGCGAACGGGUGAGUAACGCGUGAGUAACCUGCCCUGGAGUGGGGGACAACAGUUGGAAACGACUGCUAAUACCGCAUAAGCCCACGAUCCGGCAUCGGAUUGAGGGAAAAGGAUUUAUUCGCUUCAGGAUGGACUCGCGUCCAAUUAGCUAGUUGGUGAGGUAACGGCCCACCAAGGCGACGAUCGGUAGCCGGACUGAGAGGUUGAACGGCCACAUUGGGACUGAGACACGGCCCAGACUCCUACGGGAGGCAGCAGUGGGGAAUAUUGCACAAUGGGGGAAACCCUGAUGCAGCGACGCCGCGUGGAGGAAGAAGGUCUUCGGAUUGUAAACUCCUGUUGUUGAGGAAGAUAAUGACGGUACUCAACAAGGAAGUGACGGCUAACUACGUGCCAGCAGCCGCGGUAAAACGUAGGUCACAAGCGUUGUCCGGAAUUACUGGGUGUAAAGGGAGCGCAGGCGGGAAGACAAGUUGGAAGUGAAAUCUAUGGGCUCAACCCAUAAACUGCUUUCAAAACUGUUUUUCUUGAGUAGUGCAGAGGUAGGCGGAAUUCCCGGUGUAGCGGUGGAAUGCGUAGAUAUCGGGAGGAACACCAGUGGCGAAGGCGGCCUACUGGGCACCAACUGACGCUGAGGCUCGAAAGUGUGGGUAGCAAACAGGAUUAGAUACCCUGGUAGUCCACACCGUAAACGAUGAUUACUAGGUGUUGGAGGAUUGACCCC